GUGCUAUCGCUCCGGCAGCACAUAUACUAAAAUUGGAAUGAUACAGAGAAGAUUAGCAUGGCCCCUGUGCAAGGAUGACACGGAAAAGUAGGUAACUCAAUUUAA